GUGAGGAAUAUUGGGCAAUGGGCGCAAGCCUGACCCAGCCAUGCCGCGUGCAGGAAGACGGUCCUAUGGAUUGUAAACUGCUUUUAUACGGGAAGAAACACUCCCUCGUGAGGGAGCUUGACGGUACCGUAAGAAUAAGGAUCGGCUAACUCCGUGCCAGCAGCCGCGGUAAUACGGAGGAUCCAAGCGUUAUCCGGAAUCAUUGGGUUUAAAGGGUCCGUAGGCGGCCUUAUAAGUCAGUGGUGAAAUCCCAUCGCUCAACGAUGGAACUGCCAUUGAUACUGUAAGGCUUGAAUAAUUGUGAAGUAACUAGAAUAUGUAGUGUAGCGGUGAAAUGCUUAGAUAUUACAUGGAAUACCAAUUGCGAAGGCAGGUUACUAACAAUUGAUUGACGCUGAUGGACGAAAGCGUGGGGAGCGAACAGGAUUAGAAACCCCUGUAGUCC
rnacentral:rRNA from 1 species